GUUGUUCCCAAUUAACUGCCCCACUUUUUUUUUGCUUUUAUAAAGUACGGUGUAUAAUAAAAUACAUCAAUCUAGCGGUGUUCAAAUUAAUUAAGAAGUCACGCUAUUAGUUAUGACUAGAGUUAUAACUGAACGAAAUAUAGCGGCACAUGCGUCAGAGGGCAAUUUAAAUCAUGUUGUUGUUUUGCCUCGGAGUAUCAAGAUCGGUUACAGGUAGUGUAAAAACAAAUAGACUCCGGGCAAAACAAUAUCGCCGCUACAAGCAACCGUUGAAUUAAAACGAAUUUGAAUUCUCUGACUUUCCCCCGAUCAGUAUAAAUACACGGACGCGAUCGCGAGCGACAGUACAUAUCGAGUAUCUACGCGACGAGCAUUUUACGAAUAUUUAUUCCAUUAUCUUAUUUUGCGAUUUAUACUUCGUAUUAACGACUCGCGUAUACGGCUGUAUAUUAAUUUAUUAUUUUAAAUAUAUUCGACGGUUACAACAACGGGCGAUCUCGGACCUCCGUCCUCUAAACCUCACGGACCAACGUCCUCUUCACAUAAACAUCUACAGAGAACUCUCAUCGGGAAUCACUAAUCACUGCUACUAUGCAAGAUGUACUGCUUUCAGUUCGCUUCGUAAAUCGUAAACUGACCUUCAAAAAUUCGAUAAGGCUUAGAGACGCUGACGAAGAAUUAUUCUAUAUAUAUGGAACAUAUCGUUAUCGAAUAAAGUCUCCAAAUGUUUCAGGAAACGUCAAUCUUGAAGAGCACAAGAAGAGCGUAACACUAACGACUACUAAAAUUCAAAUCGAGUCACGCUUCGAAUGGACGGUUACCGCGAACCGCGCUUCCGCGAAAUCUUUCACGGUGUGAUGAAUCCACGGUAGUUUCGUCGGACGAGAGCUCGAUUCCCACGGGCGAGUCGUGGCGUGUCACAAGCGACGGUUGUGUCGUUGUGUGAGACAGUCACACAGCCUUUUAUUUUUCUCGUAUAUCGGCUUAUCAAAUCGGUUGACUUAAUAUAUAUGCAACGCGCCGAGACGGCUGGGCAAACAAC
rnacentral:lncRNA from 1 species